UGGGGAAUUUUGGACAAUGGGCGAAAGCCUGAUCCAGCAAUGCCGCGUGUGUGAAGAAGGCCUUCGGGUUGUAAAGCACUUUUGUCCGGAAAGAAAUCCUUGGCUCUAAUACAGUCGGGGGAUGACGGUACCGGAAGAAUAAGCACCGGCUAACUACGUGCCAGCAGCCGCGGUAAUACGUAGGGUGCAAGCGUUAAUCGGAAUUACUGGGCGUAAGCGUGCGCAGGCGGUUUGCUAAGACCGAUGUGAAAUCCCCGGGCUCAACCUGGGAACUGCAUUGGUGACUGGCAGGCUAGAGUAUGGCAGAGGGGGGUAGAAUUCCACGUGUAGCAGUGAAAUGCGUAGAGAUGUGGAGGAAUACCGAUGGCGAAGGCAGCCCCCUGGGCCAAUACUGACGCUCAUGCACGAAAGCGUGGGGAGCAAACAGGAUUAGAUACCCUGGUAGUCCACGCCCUAAACGAUGUCAACUAGUUGUUGGGGAUUCAUUUCCUUAGUAACGUAGCUAACGCGUGAAGUUGACCGCCUGGGGAGUACGGUCGCAAGAUUAAACUU
rnacentral:rRNA from 1 species